ACUUAUUCUUGAUUUCGUGUUGAUGUUUCAAAUGGAAUUUUUUUCAUAUGACAUCAGGGAUGUAGGAUAAUUGGGUGAACAAGCUUCCUGUGAAACAUCCAGAUCCCGGUGGCGGUGCCUCCGUUCAGCAUCCCACGCGGCGACGUCCUCCGGUAUAAUGGCAAACACCGGCAGGGGAGAGAGCAGAGCGGGAGGGGUAUUGGGUCCAUACCAUUGUGGGCAUUGCCAGUGCCAUGAUUGUGGUUAAUACCCACAGGAGAUUCUAUUCCUGUGAGCGGAUUAAACAGAAUGUCAUACAGGGGCAGAGAACAAUGGUCUUCUGGGAAUGCCUGUUAACUUUUUGGAGCUGCCAGGUAAAUUUUGGUACGAAUUUAUGUUAGUUCUACCUUUCCAUGAUGUUUAAUUGCUCGGUUCUUAAGGGUUUGUAAGAGGAGAUGGAUUUUGGACUACUCUAUUUCGGAUGCCACGGAUUUGCAGAUGAAAAAAUAAAAGAGUGUGCAUGGUGUUUUUUUUUCUUACAGAAUAUUUUUAUAUGCCAUGUUCUAUUUUGCUUCAGUUUUAGGACUAUUUGGUCUGCUACAAAAUCCAUGUUUUCAACUGCAAAAUUUUAGUUUUAUUAUUAUCAUAUUUACUAUUUUUCGGUAGUAAUAUAUAACACGUCGCUGGUGAAAAGCCUACUGGAAAGAUUAAUUAGUCAAUAAUGUUGUCUUAAGAACAAUAGUAUUUGGCUCGAAGUAUAGGCACUGUCAAUUUUUUU